AUGUAUUUAAAACUAUUUUGUAAAUAUUUUCUAUACAAUGCUAAUACGCUUCCACCCCUGACAGAAUCAUGUGGGACCAGCAAGUCUUUUUACAGGCCCAGUAAAAUACCUUCCCCUCAAACUCCUAGACAAGACAGAACUGAAUCUUGUGGGACCAACAAGUCUAUCUACAGGCCGAGUACAAAACCUUCCCCUCAAACUCCAAGACAAGACAGAACUGAAAGCUCUCCUUUCGAAAAAUCUAUAACAGAAAAAAUGGAAUACAUAAUGAAGGAAUUAUCAAAAUUGACAUUUUUAUCAGGGGAUA